rnacentral:rRNA from 1 species
GGUUAAGUGACUAAGCGUACAUGGUGGAUGCCUUGGCAGUCAGAGGCGAUGAAGGACGUACUAACCUGCGAUAAGCUGUGAGAAGUCGGUAAGAGACGCUAUUACUCACAGAUUUCCGAAUGGGGAAACCCACCCAAGAUAACUUGGGUAUCUGUUACUGAAUACAUAGGUAACAGAGGCGAACCGGGAGAACUGAAACAUCUAAGUACCCCGAGGAAAAGAAAUCAACCGAGAUUCCCUCAGUAGCGGCGAGCGAACGGGGAUUAGCCCUUAAGCAUCUUGGAAGUUAGUGGAACGGUCCUGGAAAGGCCGGCGAUACAGGGUGAUAGCCCCGUACACGAAAACAACCUUGAUGUGAAAUCGAGUAGGGCGGGACACGUGACAUCCUGUCUGAAUAUGGGGGGACCAUCCUCCAAGGCUAAAUACUCCUGACUGACCGAUAGUGAACCAGUACCGUGAGGGAAAGGCGAAAAGAACCCCUGUGAGGGGAGUGAAAUAGAACCUGAAACCGUGUACGUACAAGCAGUGGGAGCCCUUCGGGGUGACUGCGUACCUUUUGUAUAAUGGGUCAGCGACUUACAUUUUGUAGCGAGGUUAACCGUAUAGGGGAGCCGUAGGGAAACCGAGUCUUAACUGGGCGUCUAGUUGCAAGGUGUAGACCCGAAACCGGGUGAUCUAGCCAUGGGCAGGUUGAAGGUUGAGUAACAUCAACUGGAGGACCGAACCCACUAACGUUGCAAAGUUAGGGGAUGACCUGUGGCUGGGGGUGAAAGGCCAAUCAAACUCGGAGAUAGCUGGUUCUCCCCGAAAGCUAUUUAGGUAGCGCCUCGGACGAAUACUACUGGGGGUAGAGCACUGUUUGGGCUAGGGGGUCAUCCCGACUUACCAACCCCAUGCAAACUCCGAAUACCAGUAAGUAAUAUCCGGGAGACACACGGCGGGUGCUAACGUCCGUCGUGAAGAGGGAAACAACCCAGACCGCCGGCUAAGGUCCCAAAGUUCUGGUUAAGUGGGAAACGAUGUGGGAAGGCUCAGACAGCUAGGAUGUUGGCUUAGAAGCAGCCAUCAUUUAAAGAAAGCGUAAUAGCUCACUAGUCGAGUCGGCCUGCGCGGAAGAUGUAACGGGGCUCAAACCAGGCACCGAAGCCGCGGAUUCACACUUAUGUGUGAGUGGUAGGGGAGCGUUCUGUAAGUCUGCGAAGGUGUAUCGAGAGGUAUGCUGGAGAUAUCAGAAGUGCGAAUGCUGACGUAAGUAACGAUAAAGGGGGUGAAAAGCCUCCUCGCCGGAAGACCAAGGGUUCCUGUCCAACGUUAAUCGGGGCAGGGUGAGUCGACCCCUAAGGCGAGGCCGAAAGGCGUAGUCGAUGGGAAGCAGGUUAAUAUUCCUGCACGACUUGUAAUUGCGAUGGGGGGACGGAGAAGGCUAGGUGGGCCAGGCGACGGUUGUCCUGGUGAAAGUGCGUAGGUGGUGUUUCUAGGCAAAUCCGGAGACACAACACUGAGACACGAGACGAACACACUACGGUGUGGAAGCCAUUGAUGCCCUGCUUCCAGGAAAAGCCUCUAAGCUUCAGAUUACAAGUCAUCGUACCCCAAACCGACACAGGUGGUCGGGUAGAGAAUACCAAGGCGCUUGAGAGAACUCGGGUGAAGGAACUAGGCAAAAUAGAACCGUAACUUCGGGAGAAGGUUCGCUCUUGAUGGUGAAGUCCCUUGCGGAUGGAGCUGUCGGGAGUCGCAGUGACCAGAUGGCUGGGACUGUUUAUCAAAAACACAGCACUCUGCAAACACGAAAGUGGACGUAUAGGGUGUGACACCUGCCCGGUGCCGGAAGGUUAAUUGAUGGGGUUAGCGCAAGCGAAGCUCUUGAUCGAAGCCCCGGUAAACGGCGGCCGUAACUAUAACGGUCCUAAGGUAGCGAAAUUCCUUGUCGGGUAAGUUCCGACCUGCACGAAUGGUGUAACCAUGGCCAUGCUGUCUCCACCCGAGACUCAGUGAAAUCGAAUUCGCCGUGAAGAUGCGGUGUACCCGCGGCUAGACGGAAAGACCCCGUGAACCUUUACUACAGCUUGGCACUGAACAUUGAACCUACAUGUGUAGGAUAGGUGGGAGGCUUUGAAGGCGUGACGCCAGUUGCGCUGGAGCCGUCCUUGAAAUACCACCCUUGUAUGUUUGAUGUUCUAACGCAGGGCCCUGAAUCGGGCUCGCGGACAGUGCCUGGUGGGUAGUUUGACUGGGGCGGUCUCCUCCCAAAGAGUAACGGAGGAGCACGAAGGUUGGCUAAUCCUGGUCGGACAUCAGGAGGUUAGUGCAAUGGCAUAAGCCAGCUUAACUGCGAGACGGACAGGUCGAGCAGGUACGAAAGUAGGUCAUAGUGAUCCGGUGGUUCUGAAUGGAAGGGCCAUCGCUCAACGGAUAAAAGGUACUCCGGGGAUAACAGGCUGAUACCGCCCAAGAGUUCAUAUCGACGGCGGUGUUUGGCACCUCGAUGUCGGCUCAUCACAUCCUGGGGCUGAAGUCGGUCCCAAGGGUAUGGCUGUUCGCCAUUUAAAGUGGUACGCGAGCUGGGUUCAGAACGUCGUGAGACAGUUCGGUCCCUAUCUGCCGUGGGCGUUGGAUGAUUGAAGGGAGUUGCUCCUAGUACGAGAGGACCGGAGUGAACGAACCUCUGGUGUUCGGGUUGUCACGCCAGUGGCACUGCCCGGUAGCUAAGUUCGGAAUCGAUAACCGCUGAAAGCAUCUAAGCGGGAAGCGAGCCCUGAGAUGAGUCAUCCCUGACCCCUUGAGGGUCCUAAAGGGCCGUUGGAGACCACAACGUUGAUAGG